UACGAAGGGGGCUAGCGUUGUUCGGAAUUACUGGGCGUAAAGGGCGCGUAGGCGGUGUGUCAAGUCAGGCGUGAAAGCCCCGGGCUCAACCGGGGAACUGCGUCCGAUACUGGUGGGCUCGAAUCCGGGAGAGGGAUGUGGAAUUCCAGGUGUAGCGGUGAAAUGCGUAGAUAUCUGGAGGAACACCGGUGGCGAAGGCGGCAUCCUGGACCGGUAUUGACGCUGAGGCGCGAAAGCCAGGGAGCAACGGG
rnacentral:rRNA from 1 species